AGUUUUGUUUUUGCUGGGCCACUUCAAUUCUGAUCCAUUUUGAGCAGUUGGAAAACGAUCUGAAAGAGGGAAGAGUGGAAGGUGUCUGCUGUGACUGCCGUCUCGCUGUGGGAGCAGCUGGGGAGCCAGCCUUUUGCUCUCAUCGUCGCCUCACGUGCCCUGAGCUGUGCUGGCCUUCGGACCAAUGCCUUCCUGCUGGAGGACAGCAGGUGACAGCUCCAGGCACCAACAGCAAUAAUGGCCUCUCUCAUUCAUCGGGGCCGUGACCCUGAGGUUAAGAAGCUGAGGACUAGAGGGACAAGGCAUCUGUCCCAGUGGCCCUCUGAGGGCUCAGUCUGUUGUAGCUGCUGUGCUGUACUGUCCUCUCUCCACACCUCUCAUCCAUCACUGGGCUCACUGAGCUCGCUUGUCCUUUUAGCAGCAGGACACGUAUCUCUGUGCGCGUUGAGAACCCCGCAGAAAGGGAGUUUCUGGGGUUUGAUGUCGGCUUCUGGUAGCUGCCACCCUAAUGGUUGACCAGGGGCUGUGUUGGGAGAGAAGGUUCUUUGUUGGUCUCUAAAAGCUUUCUUCUGAGCCGUCCAGCCAGCGCCUCCCCCUUUCUCCCUUCAUAAAGCAUCAACUUCAUUUUCACACACUCAGCCAGCUCCUUUAGGAUUCAGAAAUCUACUUUGAGAUGAGAAAUUUGAGAGGCAAAUUAGGAACCGUUGUGUCUGCUACGAAGUGCAUGGCAGCCAGCAGAGGUGGGCGGGGCGUGUGACUGCCACGCGAGUGCCCAGAGGAGGGCGUUCUGUGUGGAGAGUGAAUGAACGCAUGACCGCCAAGUUCAGGCUGCUGGAGAUUCCCCGGUUUUACCAGCAGAAUCUGUCUGCAGGCAUGGUUUCAGGCUGACACAAUUCCCUUCUGUGGGGCUAAGCUAUAACCACAAGGCAAACUAUAAAUUUAUACUGUAAACCAUAAGUACAGUAAAUUGUAUGUACUCUGUAUGUGUGUGUGUUUGUGUGUAAAUACUAUAAACUCUAAGUACAAAACAUGGUGUAUGUCUAGCCCUAGCUUGGAUAUUUUAGUGCCAAAACAUUUAACAUUUGUAAAAAUUAUUAAAUAUUUCAGGCAUUCAAAAAGUAACAUAAUGAACAACUCUGUACACUUCCCAGCCCGAGAAAGAAACAUUAUGGAUGUACUUGGAGUCCUUUAUAUUCCCUUUCUUAUCCUGUUCCCUUCCUGCCCUCCCUCCCCUGAGGUCACCGCCAUUCUGAGUUUGCGGUUUAUCAUUUGUUUGCAUCCUUUUUUAUACUUUCUCUACUCAUAUAUGUAGGUAUAAACAAUACAUAGUAUUGUUUAAUCAGUUUAAAAACUUAUAAUAAAUGGUGUCACAGUACACAUCUCCCGCAGCUUGCUUUUUUCUCACCCAGUAUUGCGUUUCUGAGUUUUAUCCAUGUGGAUAUAUUCAUCUUUAGUUAAGUGGUUCAAGGUUUAAAAUGACAGAUUCCUGAUUUCUAGAAUUAAAUCAGAAUUUCCAGGGAGUGGGACAUGAGCCUCAGAACUUUUCACAGGUACAGUGAGUUGAGGCUCACAGCGCUCCAGGGUUAGUUUUGUGGCUUACAUUGGGGUCCAGUGUAUGAUGUGUCCCACUGCCGACGUUUUCCCAGAUUUCGGCCUCACCAACAGCGCUGCAGGGAACAGUCUUACACCAGCCCAGCCUUCCUGGGCGCACAGUGCGAGUUUCUCUGGAGGGCGCUUCGAAGGGUAGAAUUGCCAGGUGUGCGCGUCUGUAGCUUGAUGAGAUAUUGUCAAAUUGCCCUGCAAAACUUUAAAUUUUUUAAGCGACCCGCCAACAGUGGUAACUUGUGAGUGAUGUCAUUUCCUUUUAUAAUGUAGCCAGGCUGAUGGCAAGGGGAUGAAGUCUCAUGAACGAGAUAAAAUCUUGGCCAUGCCCAGCAUCUGGAUAGACCACCCAAGCCCAGCACGUCCAGAAUUGCACUGCUGCCCCCCGGCUCCCAGCUGCCAAGCCGGCUCAGAGCCUUCCCCUCCCAGGGUGGUGGCCUCUCCCCCGCUGCUCCAGGGGUCUCUGUGGCUCCUGUCUGUACAUUCUGUCAGGAAACCCCUUGUCUUCAGGAGGCGUCAGUCCCGCUCUCCCCUCCCCUUCCUCUCUCCAUGGGAUUGCUGAGCACGCCCGCUCCCACAAGGUUUCCCGACUUCUGCCCUACCCUCUACUCCCGGUUUUCAAUAAUGCAGCCGGAAUGAUGCCCUUUAAACCCAAGUCAGAUGUCAGCCUUCUGCUGGAAAGCUCCCCGGCCCCCAUUUCACUGGGGCUGAAAGCCAGAGCUCUUACAGGCGCCCCCGGGCACUCUGGGCCCUGUCGCUUCUCCAGGCUGCCCGGCCCCUCUCCCCUCUCCCCGGCUCGCUCGCUGCAGCCACUGGCCGUGCCCCUGCUUCAGGCUCUUCUCUUCCACAUCCGUCCAGUCCUUUCCAGUGAGGCCUAGCUCAGUCUCUUGACCUCCUCCUUCUGGUCUCUCUCCUCUCCCCACAGACUUUAUCCCCAGUACUACUCUCUGUGCUAUAUAAUUUACUUCUUUAGUACAGUAUUUAUUUCCUGUCUGAAUUUGAAUGUAAGCUCCAGGGAACAGGGAUCUUGUCUGUUUGUUGGAAUGGAAGACUGACUGAAUUUAUUUCUGAGAAGAAAGGAAGAAUUUGGAGCCUCCAGAUGAGGGUUGAGCGUGGGAGACGAGGUGUGACCACCAGCCCACGUGUCACAGCCGGAAAACAGCAGGCACUGUGACCCUCACGUCACGUGGGGAGGACCCAAUUUCGAUUUCUUUGAGAUUAUGUACCCAGGGUGCGUCCGCAUAAUAUUUCCUUGGCACAUCAGAUGUGGAUUUCAUGAGUUUGUGCCACCUACAGAUAAAGGACUUUAGCAAGAGUGGUGUUCCUUGGAAUGGGUGUGCCACUGUGAGUUUAAUCAUUUACCACUGAAGGACAUCUGGGUUGUUUCCAGGUUUUGGUGAUUAUCAAUAAAGCUGCUAUAAACAUUCAUGGACAGGUUUUUUGUGUGAACAUAGGUCUUCAUUUCUCGGGAUAAAUGCCCAAGAGUGUAAUCCCUGGGUUGUCUUGUAGUUUCAUGUUUGGUUUUUAAAGAAACUGCCAAACUGUUUUGCAGAGUGGCUGUACAUUCCCCCCAGUAUGCGCCAGUUUCUCUGACAUCUUCUCUAGCAUUUGGUGUUGUCACUUUUUUCUUCUAGCCAUUCUCGUAGGUGUAUAGUCAUAUUGUGAUUUUAAUCAGCGUUUCCUGAAUGGCUGUUGAUGUUGAAUACCUUUUCUUGUGCUAAUUUGCCUCUGUAUACCCUCUGACACUGUGGGGAUGUGGCUGGCAGGGGUGAAAGUCCCUACCUGGUGUUCUCUGGGCAACACGUGGCCUGUGCUGGAGCCUUAUUGCUGCCUGCGUGGUGGGCGUGGGGGCCACAGUUGUCUCCGUUUGGCUGGAGUAGAGUGGUUAUUGGCUGCUCUCCCACUGUGGAUUCUGCCUUGUUAGGCUCCCCUCUCCUGGAGCCACGGCCGGAGGGGGCAGGCUUUUGGUGAGCUUUUUAAAAUUCUUUCCGUACUCCUUGGUGUUUCUGGCUGGGCUUCUUCAGCUCCAUGUUUAGGAUGUCAGGGGCAAACAGAGACCCGAGAGAACUCAGUGCCUUGUCAUUCCUCAGGCCCUCUUCUCUCCACCCUUCAGAGCCUUUGCAUAUUUUUUUAUAUCUAAGUCCAGGAUUUUAGCUGUACUUAGCCAGAGGAAUAAGGAAAAGUAUGUCUAACCGUCUUCCCGGAAUCAGAAGUCGGCUGGUUACUCUUAUUAUUUUUGGAUCUGUGAAACCUGAUGACCCAGGCUGCAUGUCUGCCCUGCCUGCUUGCCCUGCUUGUCGUGGCCUUUGGCCCAUCCCAGGCUCAGGGCCUCACAUUCAUUACUGCUAAAGUGGUUUGGCUUGGCCUGUAGUCCCAGCGUGACAAAGUUUGCAGGAUCUCGAUCUUUUUGUCAUUUAAGGUCCCAUUUACAAAUGAGAGGCACAUCCAAAUCCGUGGUGAGGAAUUGCUGGACAGGACUUUGCUGGUGAAUCAUGGACCGCCCUUAUCAUCGUCCCCCAGAUCGUAUUUCUCCACCCUCUGUUGUGAACUCUUGGGAAACCUGGUUGGAGUGGGAGGGGCAGUGGUCGGGUGACUCAGUGAGAUGUCCCUGUCAUCCUUGCACUGAUCCUCCAGGCCCGUAUUCCUGUCAAAAAGGAAAUGCAACGCACCAGACACUGCCUGUUCCGAGUGAGCCUAGGAGAGCUCUUGGCGACUGCCGGUUCCUUCCCUACAUUCAGCCCCUCCAUUCCUGGCAUCGCUCACGUGGCAGUCUUGCCUGGAAUCCAGGUGGGGACCCGCUGUUGGGUAGAGGUCAGGAGCCAGGCCUGAGCCAGCCUGCCCAGGGUCCCGGCCCCCUGCUUCGUUACUUGUGGGACUUGGGGCAAGUCACUCGGCAGGCCUCAGUUUCCUCUCCUGAUAACCUCCUCCAUCACGUGGUGGGGAAGCUGGGACAAGCAGACACCUGUCAACACCUAGCGGAUUCCCCAGCAUUGCCGAGUGCCCGGCCGGGGGAGCUGCUGCUGACAUCCUCUUGGCUGCUUCCCUGUCCUGUCUGCUCCUGUGUGUGUAACUCAAGCGCCCACCUUCUCCACUGAGACAUCAUAUCUGUGUGUUUCCAGCAUGUCUCCUUUCUCUCCUUGAUUUCUCAAAGAUCACUGCCCGGGGUUUAGUAGCUUUCCCGGCUAAUUCUUCCCAGGAUAUUGGAAGAUAUUUGUCUGACUUGGGUGUCUUAGACUCAUUUAGAGUAUCUAGCAUUUUCUCGUAUUUCCAGGAAGAUCAUUUCUAUGCAAGGAUAGGAACAAAAAUUAAUAAGGAAAAAAUAUAGAACUUAGAAAGUUCUUUUUUUUUGUUUUUAGCAUAUAUCAUAAACUUAAGGCUUUUUUUUUUUUUGCGCGGUACGUGGGCCUCUCACUGUUGUGGCCUCUCCCGUUGUGGAGCACAGGCUCUGGACGCACAAGCCCAGCGGCCAUGGCUCACGGGCCUAGCCACUCCGCGGCAUGUGGGAUCUUCCCGGACCGGGGCAAGAACCCGUGUCCCCUGCAUCGACAGGCGGACUCUCAACCACUGUGCCACCAGGGAAGCCCAGGUUUUAUCUUAAAAAUAAUUAUAGUGAAUACAGGCACAUGGUAAAGAGCUCAAAAGGAUGAAAGGUAUAAAGUAAGUUUCCCGGUCCCUCAGAAGUCCCCUCCCAGAGGUGACUAAGUUACUUUUUCCUGUACACCCAGACUAUUCCUGCAGUUUGUUUUGAGCACUUAACAAUAUAUCUUAGAGGCUGAUCCCUGUAAGGGCAUGAGGAGUAAGUAGCUUCAGUCUGUUUAAGGCUGUGUAGGCUCCCGAUAUAUGAAGGUGCCAUGAUUUACGUCGCCAGCGUCCUGCCAAUCAUACCUUGAUCAGUAUUUCAGUUGUUCCUUUUGUCUUUACAGUGAACUUUCAUGAAUUACCUCAUAUACACUCUGUGUCAGUGCUCCCGAAGACAUAUUUGUAGAAGCACUAUUGCUAAGACAAAGAUGUAUAUUUUAAAGUUUGCUAGAUUUCACCAGAUGUUCUCUGUAGGAGUUUAUUUAUUUACCCCUCGAUGUAUGAGACUCAACAGAGCAGGUUAUCAAACUUGUGUAGGUAAAAAAUAGGUGUCUUGUAAUUUUAAUUUGCAUUUAUCUUAUGAAUAAGACUGACCACUUUUCCUGUGUUUAAGAUCUGUCCACUAUUUUAAUGGCAGAGCUAUCUCUGCCAGUCUCUCAUGUUCGUGAUACACUUCUGUCUUCUUUUGCCUCUCUUGUGCAUUUAGUUUUCUAAACAGACUUUAUCCAAGGGUCUGGGUAGCCAUGCCGUUUGUCUUUUUUUUUUUUUUUUUUUUUUUUGGUGUGGGGUACUGCAUUGGGUCUUCGUUGCUGCGCGCGGCUUCCUCUAGUUGCGGCGGGCAGGGGCUGCUCUUUGUCGCGGUGCGCGGGCUUCGCGUCGCGAAGAAACAUUGCGACGUUUUCCCAGAUUUCAGCCUCACCAACAGCGCUGCAGGGAACAGUCUUACACCAGCCUUCCUGGGCGCACAGUGCGAGUUUCUCUGGAGGGCGCUUCGAAGGGUAGAAUUGCCAGGUGGGCGCGUCUUUAGCUUGAUGAGAUUUUGUCAAAUUGCCCUGCAAAACUUUAAAUUUUUUAAGCGACCCGCCAACAGUGGUAACUUGUGAGUGAUGUCAUUUCCUUUUAUAAUGUAGCCAGGCUGAUGGCAAGGUGAAGUCUUUGUUGCGGAGCACGGGCUCUAGGUGCGUGGGCUUCAGUAGCAGCACGCGGGCUCAGUAGUUGUGGCACUUGGGCCCUGAAGUGCACGGGCUUCAGUAGUUGCGGCACCUGGGCUCAGUGGUUGUGGUGCGCGGGCUCUAGGGUGCAGGCUCAGUAGUUGUGGCGCACGGGCUGAGUCGCUCCAUGGCACGUGGGAUCUUCCUGGCCCAGGGCUUGAACCCGUGUCCCCUGCAUUGGCAGGCGGAUUCUUAACCGCUGCGCCACCAGGGAAGUCCCUGCCAUUUUUCUUUUGAUUCAGUUACAUUGUUAGUUUUAUUCCGAGUUCUAUAUUCUUUUUACUGAAGUCUAGCACACAUAUGGAAAAGUUAUCGAUUAUAGCAUCUACAGGUUGAUGAAUGCUCCGGAUCAAGGAACAGAACGUUAGCAGCCUCCAGUAGCUCUCUUUUGUACCCUUCUCCCCCAAAGCAACUCCUGGAAGCAGCUAGCUUCUAACCCUAUAGAUUAGUUUUACAUUUUUUUUUAACUUUGUAUGUGCAUAAUGAACUUAUAUGAAUAGUAUAUAUAUAUUUUUGUGUCUGGCUUCUUUCAGCAUUGUGAAACUCAUCACAUUAUUGCAUGUAGCAGCAGGUGGUUCAUUCUCAUUGCUCUGCAGUAUUCCAUUAUACUAAUACAUUAUAGGUUAUUUAUCCACUUUACCCAUGCAGGGCAUUUGGGUUGUGUCUAGUAUGGGCCUCUUAAGAGUACUGAUGCCAUGAAGUCCUUUUCUGUGUCUCGACGAGAAGGAGAUAUAUUUGUAUUUUGGUUGGGCCGAUGGGUGGAAUUGCUGAGCCUUAGGGUGACUGUACCAAAUUGCAUUCCCACCAGAACCGCUGGAGAGUUCUGGUUGCUCUGCGUCCCCGCCAGCACUCCACACUGCCUUUAGACACCGAGCACUUUCUUUAGCUCAGCCGCCGUGAAGGGUGGACCACGUGGGGUCUUAAUUUCUACUUCCCAGAUGUCUAAUCAAGUUGGGCACCUUUUCGUGUCCCUUAUUGGUCACUUGUGAAGUAACUGUUGUGAGAUAACUGUUGAAGUCUUUUGUCCGUUUUCCUGUCAGUUGGUGUGCUUCUCUUCUUACUGAUUUUUAAGUUUUUCUAUCUCAGGAGAAUUCCAGCAAGGGUCUAAGAAUUCAGAUCUGUUUAUUGUGCCUCUGGCCUCCUCAGAGGGUUAUGUGAGAAGUACUUCCACCGUUUUCUCUGCUCUUCCUCUGGGAUAUCCUUUCUGUUUCAUUCAUGUUCUGACUUCAGGGUGUGUGGUGUGCUUUCACUCUUGAGCUUGUGGGUUUCCACGUGGCUGUCUGUCUUCUCGCCCCAUCGUAUUCCUCUGCUCUGUCCCUUAAUACCACGUCUGCUUAUUCGAGCCAUGGACCUAGCCUGCUGAGUCUCUGUGCUGUUGCUGAUUUGUUCUAAGUUCACGUUAUUACCCUACUUUUAAUGUGUAUUUACCUUCUCAGUUCAUUUAGUUGGGUGAACUGUUUCUUACCAUACAAAUUUGCUUGAAAAAUUUAGAGUAUCUUUUAGUCUCUAAAGUCUUUUCUGUGUGAAAGCUAGGUUUUGGAGAUAGUUCUAGCUUUUUCGCACCAUUCCUUGGUUUCUAGGAGUUACAGUAUUGGCUGCAGCCCAAACAGAGGGACACUCUUAUUAUUCCUUAGGGCAUCUCCCCUGAAUCCUGCCUUCUUCCUGCCUUGGACUCAUCCAACUCCUGCUUCUCUCCUGGGUCUUGUCCUGCCCGCUGUGUCUCCAAAACCAAGGGGUUCAUUCAGUAGGAAGUCCCGUCCAAGGCUUCCCUCUCAGAAACAGCCUCUCAUUUCCCUUCCUCCUGAGGAGGCCCUCCCAGCCUCACCUCUCCCAUGAAGCUCCCCCAGGGCUGGAAGGCUCUUGAGGAGCUUGCAGGCCACCACAGGGAGGAGGAGCCUCCACGGGAAUGGAGUGAUGACCCGUCUUGUGGGCAACUAAGAAACACGGAUUCUGUCUCAAGGUGGCAGGGCGCGGCCGGAGAGAAGCAGAGAUGGAUUUUUAUUUGAUGGGCGUCCUCUGUGAUGAUUCUCUUGAUCGGGAGGUGGACUCUUGGCGCCAGAAUGGUCUCAGGGAGAUUUGUCCACAUGUAGAGCCAUCUUUUAGUACCAUCAGAGAGAAAAUACCCUAAGAUCAGGACCUAGAGCCUGAAGUAGCACCAAGAGUAAUGGUGGUGGGGUGUUUACAUACGAGGCGCUGUUCUCAGCACCUUACGUGGUCCCUGCCCCACACGUCACAGCACCGCUAGGAUGUGACAGCACCAUUAAUAGCCCCAGUUUUCAGGUGAGCAAGUGGAGGCACAGGCAGCUGCUCCAAGUUACACAUCUCGCAGGGCUUCAGACCAGGGGUGUGUUUGGGCCCCCUGCUGGGUCCUGUGCACAUUUGGCCCCGUUCAGUCCCAUGACAACCCUGGCAGGUGACUUCUAACACCUCUCCUUUUCCAGAAGGGAAACGUUUCCCAAACAGUCAGUGGCCAGGUGGGAUUCUAUCUGAGGUAUCGUCAAACAGGCACAAGAGUUUAAAAAAAGAAGGCUGAAAACCAGGUUCUUGGACAUUCAUCUGUUGGUCAAGACCUAAAAUAGGAUGGGCAUAAAAAAAUCUCAUUGUUCUCUUCUGUAGAUAUAUCAUAGUAACUCCUAAUAAAUCCCUGAGUUAUGCAAAAUGAAUGUACUGUCUUUCUGUAACUGUAUUUAUUGUGCUCAUAAAAAUGUUCAAGUAUGAAAACUCACCCUGGAGUGAAUAAUGAAGAAGUGUUUGCUGAGAUCUUAUAGACAUACAGUUGCUGAUGAAAAUUCCUUAUGCACCGACCCCAGGCCAUUGGCGGUUGCCAGGCUGCCACGGCCUUCCCUGACCACCCGGUCCAAGCACCCACCAGCCCCCUUGCACACGACCCGCUUCCUGUCAGUGUCUGAAAUUGUUUUGUGGUUUGUCUGUCUCUCCCCCGUGUGUGAGUAGGAACCUUGCCUGUCAUGGCCUUGGGAGCCCAUGUCCACAGCAUACACUUGGCCGGCGUCUGCUGGGAGGGUGGGGUACAGCCGCCUGCCGUGCUCUCCAGGAGUGAAAGAGCAGCUCCCACCACCCGACCCCAGGAGGGCGUGGCCGCUCCAGGCCUCUGUGUUCUGUCUUUCCGUCUCCCUGCACUCUCUCCUAGGCUUACCUCUUUUACACCCAGCAUGGUCCCUACGUGGAGUUAUCAUGGUUACCCCGGUCGUGGAAGAAUGAACAGCACCGUGCAUUUGUGACCCAGUUCUGUUUACCCCCUUCGGUGAUUAAGCUUUGUAGGUAGUUUAUGGAAAUCACGGAAGAGAUAAUCUAUAAAAUACUAUUUCUAAAUUUUCUGAGCCAGAAACAUGAUCAUCUAAUAACUUAAGUUGGGUAUUCCUAAAUUGGAUCUUUCUAAUAUAAAUUAAAGCUCUAAAAUGGGCAAACAUCCAAAAGUUUAAGAACGUAUUUUUAAAAAAUUUUUAUUUAUUUAUUUUUGGCUGUGUUGGGUCUUCGUUUCUGUGUGAGGGCUUUCUCUAGUUGUGACAAGCGGGGGCCACUCUUCAUCACGGUGCACGGGCUUCUCUUGUUGCGGA